AUUGAACGCUGGCGGUAUGCUUAACACAUGCAAGUCGAACGGUAACAGGUCUUCGGAUGCUGACGAGUGGCGGACGGGUGGGUAACGCGUAGGAAUCUGCCUAUUAGUGGGGGACAACGUGUGGAAACGCACGCUAAUACCGCAUACGCCCUACGGGGGAAAGGAGGGGAUCUUCGGACCUUUCGCUAAUAGAUGAGCCUGCGUAGGAUUAGCUAGUUGGUGGGGUAAAGGCUCACCAAGGCGACGAUCCUUAGCUGUUCUGAGAGGAAGAUCAGCCACACUGGGACUGAGACACGGCCCAGACUCCUACGGGAGGCAGCAGUGGGGAAUAUUGGACAAUGGGCGAAAGCCUGAUCCAGCAAUACCGCGUGUGUGAAGAAGGCCCUAGGGUUGUAAAGCACUUUCAAUUGGGAGGAAAAAACAAGAGCUAAUACCUUUUGUCUUGACAUUACCUUUAGAAGAAGCACCGGCUAACUCCGUGCCAGCCGCCGCCGUAACAC
rnacentral:rRNA from 1 species